CUUCGUGUCCGCUUCCCUUUAUGGGCUCAUGAGUCCCUGGGAGCUAUGAGAGCCUCGGUGAUGACGUGCUUCCAUCCCGCCUUCGUGUCCGCUUCCCUUUAUGGGCUCAUGAGAUCCUGGGAGCUGUGAGAGCCUCGGCGAUGACGCGCUUCUGUUCCGCCUUAGGGUCCGCCUCCCUUUAUGGGCUCAUGAGUUUCUGCUUCAACACCAGGCAAUUUUUUUUUUCUUUUGCCUCUAGCCCAGUUUUAGAAAGGACUGUAUCUUGGUCCUUCUUAAUGGUAUAAAAGACAUCCUCAGCCCGCCAGAUUCUCCUGCAUUUGAGUGACGACAUGCUUCUCUGGCUGUGACCAACUCUUCUCCCUUUCUUUUUAAAUGGCAGGACUUCUUGUUCAAUACUUGCUGGAUAUGAAGAUCCAACCCGGCGCCUCCCAUUGCAUCCGCUCCUCACACCUCCACCGUCUCCAUGGCGUGACAGUUCCUUAGUUUUUCCUUGUUGUUCGUGACCUUCACCUUUUGGAAAGGUACUGGCCAGUCACUUUGCAAAAUGUUCCUCAGUUUGUGCUUGCUUGAUGUUUUCUCCUGAUUAAAGUGAUGCAUUUUGGGCAGAACAUCAUAAAA